rnacentral:rRNA from 1 species
UACGAAGGGGGCUAGCGUUGCUCGGAAUUACUGGGCGUAAAGCGCACGUAGGCGGCUUUCUAAGUCGGGGGUGAAAUCCUGGAGCUCAACUCCAGAACUGCCUUCGAUACUGGAGAGCUUGAGUUUGGGAGAGGGACGCGGAAUUCCAGGUGUAGCGGUGAAAUGCGUAGAUAUCUGGAGGAACACCGGUGGCGAAGGCGGCGUCCUGGACCAACACUGACACUGAUGAGCGAAAGCCAGGGGAGCAAACGGG